UACAGAGGGUGCAAGCGUUGUUCGGAAUUAUUGGGCGUAAAGCGCGUGUAGGCGGCUUUGCAAGUCGGAUGUGAAAGCCCUCGGCUCAACCGAGGAAGUGCGUUCGAAACUGCAGAGCUUGAGUGCAGGAGAGAAGAGUGGAAUUCCACGUGUAGCGGUGAAAUGCGUAGAUAUCGGGAGGAACACCAGUGGCGAAGGCGACUACCUGGCCUGUUCUUGACGCUGAGGCGCGAAAGCUAGGGGAGCAAACGGG
rnacentral:rRNA from 1 species